rnacentral:rRNA from 1 species
UACGGAGGGAGCUAGCGUUGUUCGGAAUUACUGGGCGUAAAGCGCACGUAGGCGGCUUUGUAAGUUAGAGGUGAAAGCCCGGGGCUCAACCCCGGAAUUGCCUUUAAGACUGCAUCGCUUGAAUCCGGGAGAGGUGAGUGGAAUUCCGAGUGUAGAGGUGAAAUUCGUAGAUAUUCGGAAGAACACCAGUGGCGAAGGCGGCUCACUGGCCCGUAACUGACGCUGAGGUGCGAAAGCGUGGGGAGCAAACAGG